GGUAAUACCGGCAGCUCGAGUGGUCGUCGCUUUUAUUGGGCCUAAAACGUCCGUAGCCUGUUUGGUAAAUCUGUGGGUAAAUCAACCAGCUUAACUGGUUGAAUUCUGCAGAGACUGCCAGACUAGGGACCGGGAGAGGUGUGGGGUACUCUAGGGGUAGGGGUAAAAUCCUGUCAUCCUUAGAGGACCACCAGUUGCGAAGGCGCCACACUAGAACGGAUCCGACGGUCAGGGACGAAGCCUAGGGGCACGAACCGGAUUAGAUACCCGGGUAGUCCUAGGUGUAAACGCUGUGAACUUGGUGUCGGGAGUCCGCAAUGGGCCCCCGGUGCCGGAGUGAAGAUGUUAAGUUCACUGCCUGGGGAGUACGGUCGCAAGGCUGAGGUAAUACCGGCAGCUCGAGUGGUCGUCGCUUUUAUUGGGCCUAAAACGUCCGUAGCCUGUUUGGUAAAUCUGUGGGUAAAUCAACCAGCUUAACUGGUUGAAUUCUGCAGAGACUGCCAGACUAGGGACCGGGAGAGGUGUGGGGUACUCUAGGGGUAGGGGUAAAAUCCUGUCAUCCUUAGAGGACCACCAGUUGCGAAGGCGCCACACUAGAACGGAUCCGACGGUCAGGGACGAAGCCUAGGGGCACGAACCGGAUUAGAUACCCGGGUAGUCCUAGGUGUAAACGCUGUGAACUUGGUGUCGGGAGUCCGCAAUGGGCCCCCGGUGCCGGAGUGAAGAUGUUAAGUUCACUGCCUGGGGAGUACGGUCGCAAGGCUGA
rnacentral:rRNA from 1 species